GGGAUGAGAAGUGAGCAAGAAAUUGAGUUGCUUCAGUCUUGUGGAAUUCCUACAUGCUGCUAUUGCUAGAACUGUGUUAGGAGAGUCCUGUUUUGCCUUUUUUCCACAGGCAUGGAUGAGCAGCUGCUGGUCUUGGAUGCCAUUGCAGAGUUGCUGGAUGUGCACAGACGUGUUCAGUCCCCUGCAACUGAAGGGCAAAGCUUAGUCUAACAAGAGCUAAAUAACGCACAAAUACGUACGGGUACUGUCGCAGCUUUGAAGUCCCAUCUGGGAGAAUGAGGCCUCCUGCAAGUCUGAUGCUCUACUGGAGGUUAUCUGGAGUUGAUGAAUUACAAACACAAAGUGAUGUCUUUUAAUGAGCAGCAGCAUCUUAACUGCUGACCUACUUGCCCAAUAGAAAGUGACACGGGAGUUGCAAGUUUUCUCCUUCUCAUCUGCUGUAAGUGAAGCUCUCCAGCUUUGAAGCUAUCCAGCCUGACCCUUUGUCUUCAGUGGUUUGCAGAUACUUGAGGCACCUCACUUCACAAGUGGCCCCAAGCGCAUGGAUGAUUGGAUUUUGGACCAGGUCUCUGGGGGUGAUGCUCUUGGACUGAUCACCCUCCUGCAAGCAGCUAAGGACAUGUACAUGCCACUGUGAGAGGAGGAAUAUAUAUGCUUUAGGAAAGGACUUUAUGGCAAGGUGAGGAAACCAUAGCCAGUUCCCAGUGGCCCUGCCUGUCCUGCACAUCAGUGGGUUGCUGUCCCUGCAA